rnacentral:rRNA from 1 species
GACGAACGCUGGCGGCGUGCUUAACACAUGCAAGUCGAUCGGAAAGGCCCUGCUUUUGUGGGGUGCUCGAGUGGCGAACGGGUGAGUAACACGUGAGUAACCUGCCCUUGACUUUGGGAUAACUUCAGGAAACUGGGGCUAAUACCGGAUAGGAGCUCCUGCUGCAUGGUGGGGGUUGGAAAGUUUCGGCGGUUGGGGAUGGACUCGCGGCUUAUCAGCUUGUUGGUGGGGUAGUGGCUUACCAAGGCUUUGACGGGUAGCCGGCCUGAGAGGGUGACCGGCCACAUUGGGACUGAGAUACGGCCCAGACUCCUACGGGAGGCAGCAGUGGGGAAUAUUGCACAAUGGGCGGAAGCCUGAUGCAGCAACGCCGCGUGCGGGAUGACGGCCUUCGGGUUGUAAACCGCUUUCGCCUGUGACGAAGCGUGAGUGACGGUAAUGGGUAAAGAAGCACCGGCUAACUAUGUG